UGCAGAUUCUUAGAGAUAUCACAGGCAGAAAUAUCAGAUAAAAUAAGUAAACUGCCUUCUCAUCAUAACAGUCUUCUUUUUGUGGGUGUCUGGGCACAGCCAAGAAUCAACUGUAGGCAUCUGUAUCAGAACUCCAAAGAGAUGAGAAGAUUGCUAUGUGAGAUGCUGUUUAUCCCUGGUGAAGGAGGUGAUUCCUGGACAAGGAAAGAGCAAUUUGAUAGGGACUUGGAUUUGUAAGGGAAAGAACACCUCCAAGGAUGAAGAUUCCUGAUCCUCUGCAGAUACCUGUGAUAAAGUUCUGGUCGUUCUCAUGGCAAAAAAUAAUUUCCUUAUGAACCAUUGGCCCCCAGCUACACCAGGCUGAAUGAUGUCUCUCAAGCCACAGGAAUCCCACCACAGAGGACUCCUGCCCUGGACCAUGUAAUAAAAGGGAACUACAUGGAAGUGAACUCUUGGAUGGAACAGGACACUGUGGGUGCUUUUCCGGGCAUCUUACAUCAUGUGGUGAAUGUCCUUCUUAACUUUCUACAA